GGAGCAGGGGCCAGCGACCCACGUCUACAUGCAUACUUCUCUUACACUGCUGCUACUGGAAAAGCUGAACCCCGCGCCAGGACCCCAGCCCCCUGCAAGGACCCGUGAGCGUCUGGGAAGCUGUCUCUGGGACUGAAGCCCCCCACCUCCGCCGGGCUGGCGGCCACUGCGGUACCCUACGCCCCGUCGGGCUGGUCCUGCACAAUUUGGGAAAAAGCCGCAGCGCUUCUGCAAGGUCUACGUGGCCAUGAGCAUGCAACGCUUGGCUCCAAAAAAGACACGAAAGGAGCAAAGCGCCAACGACCACCCGAUCGGAGGGCCCGAGGGGCGCCUCUUCACCAGUCAGCUGCAGCUUAAGUUCCGUGCAUUAUCUGAAAGGAACAGCUGGCUGGAGGUAUCCAGGGCUGUCACUCCAACCUCUGCAGCAGUGACCUCAACUCCCAGCACUUCAAAACCCAGACAGAAACGUCCAACAAACUCCCAGUCCAGGAGCGCUGCAAAACCAACGCCAGUUGUUUUUCUGCAGAAAAUCAUCAACUGUGGAGAAGAAGAAGGGAAAUAAGAAAGAAAGAAAACCCUAAAAACCACCCUGGCGCCCGGGCCCGCAGGCCUCGGGCCGGCUCUGAAAAGUUUGGGCUGUGCACGUGAUGAGCGCGUAGGCGGGAGCCCCAGACAGGACCCGGGCGGGCAUUUCGAGAAAAAGCAGCGGUGACAGCCUUUGGUCCCCAUCUCCAUUGUUCCUGCCAGCUCUGGACCCCAGGCUGCAUGAGACGUAGGUCCCAGGGGACACCCGACCCCGUGGCCCCAGUCUUAGAGUUGGCCUGUUUCCUCUCAUCUCUGGCUCCAUGACUUCAAUCCUCCUGCAGCUUCCACUGCCCCUAUCUGGCUCAUGUCUUGCUGUCUGGUGUCAUGAACUGGGAGUGCAGUAAAGAGGAGUGACAAGCCUGAGGGGCCACGUUCAUACCUGCCACUGCCAACUGUCCUGAUGUAACUGCUUUGUCAUCUUGCCUGCCAGGAUUUGUGACAAGUCUAGUUUGGGGUCUCUAUAAUCCUGCUCCUUUGGCUGCCAGCCAUCUCCAUAAAAAAAGAAUUUGAAAGGCUUCCAUUCUUUCAGAGACCUGUUUCCCGGGACUGGCUGCAAGGGAGAGAUGCACUGACCUUCUGCCAGGUAUAGAACUAUUGAAUGGUACAGUUUGAGAUCUUCGAAACCAUCAGGACUGAUCAUUUUCUGGCUACUUUCUACAUAGGAAUCCUAGAGUUCCUUGGAGAGGAUAUGAAGGUUAUUCUCAGGCCAUGCAGAUGGGCAAGAAAGGAUGUGCGUCCAUGGUUCCUCUUCAAAUCCAACCAAAACAGCCUUGCUUCCGUUGGCUUUAUAUAAUACUGCAACUCUUGAUAAUCUGAUUUAACACAAAUUUCCUCAUUGAGUUUCUCCUCAUGAAGAAACGGCCUCAGUGAGGUAAAUCGGAAUGCACAGGAGCACAUAGCAGGUUAGUGCAGACCAGAAAUCAAACCCAGGCUUUCUGACUGCUCAAUAGACCACAAUCUACCAUGCUACCAUGGAAACUUUAAAACAGAUGAAAGUAAAAACAAACAAACAACAACUUAAAAAAACAAAAACAAAAACAAAAGCAAAACCCAGAGCCUCUCUAGGAAAUACCAACGUGCUUUUGCCAAGUGGGGUUUCUCUCACUUCAUAAGAGCAGUAAACACUAAACCAAGGGAAUGUGAAUUUAGAGGUUAGAAAAGAUAACCAGAGAUUUGGCCGUGCGUGGGGCUCAUGCCUGUAAUCCCAGCACUUUGGGAGGCUGAGGCUGGUGGGUUGCCUGAGGUCAGGAGUUUGAGACCAGCCUGGCCAACAUAGUGAAACCCUGUCUCUACUAAAAAUACAAAAAUUAGCUGGGUGUGGUGGCGUGCACCUGUAAUCCCAGCUACUAGGGAGGCUGAGGCAGGAGAAUCGCUUGAACUGGAGAGGUGGAGGUUGCAGUGAGCCGAGAUGGUGCCAUUGCACUCCAGCCCGGGCAAGAAGAUUGAAAUUCCAUCUCAAAAAAAAAAAAAAAAGAAGAAGAAGAAGAAAAGAUGCCAGAGAUUUGGCGGGGUGCCGGGCUCAUGCCUGUAAUCCCAGCACUUUGGGAGGCCAAAUGGACAGAUCACUUAAAGUUAGGAGUUCCAGAAAAGAUGCCAGAGGUUGGGCCUUUACAUUGUUUUGUAAAUUCGUCAAACCUUAAUCUUAUUUAACUUCCCCACCUAUACAAAAAUUAAUGCAGUAAUUGCUUUUUAAGGAAGCAUUCCAAAGGCCAAAUAAUUCAUAUAUGUCAAGUACCCUGGGAUUCAGGAAAGAAAAAUUCUCUAUAGCUCUAAAGCAAGGAUUAUAAUUUGAGGUUUCCUGACAGUUUUUUUUAAGAAAAGAAAUACCAACCUUUCUUUUCUGGGCCAAAUGCCAAGGUAGGUAAUAACCCCUUGCCCAUUUUCUUUCCCCAAGCUGUUUUAACUAGAUAAGAGCUCUGCCUUCAUUUCCUUUUGUGAACUGACUUGGGAUGUUGCCACAUGCCCUUCAACUACUGUCAAUGCUCUAGUUUGCUGAGUGCUUUCCCCUUCAGAAUGGAAAAGGUUUUGGCAUAAAUAUCUAGCUUUCUUCAAGGUACAAAAUGCUUUCCAAGGAGCAGAGGACAGAGGGAACAAACUUUCAUGUUUCCCAAUUGUAUUAGUCUGUUCUCAUGCUGCUAAUAAAGACAUACCCAAGACUGUGUAAUUUAUAAAGGAAAAAGGUUUUACUGACUCACAGUUCCACAUGGCUGGGGAGGCCUCACAAUCAUGGUGGAAGAUGAAGGAAGAGCAAAGGGAUGUCUUCCAUGGCCAGCAAAAAGAGAAUGAAAGCCAAGGGAAGGAGAAAACACCUUAUAAAAUCAUCAGAUCUCAUGAGACUUAUUCACUACCAUGACAACGGUAUGGGUGAACUGCCCCCAUGAUUCAGUUAUCUCCCACCGGGUCCCUCCCACAAAAUGUGGGAAUUAUGGGAGCUACAAUUCAAGAUGAGAUUUGGGUGGGGACAGAGCCAAACCAUAGCACCAAUACUAGAUCCCUCAGCUUCAAGGUGGCUCCAGUGAUCCUAAGAGGAUCAAGGAAGCCCUACCUCCCUGCUUGUCCUGGAUGUCUCUGACACAUGUUAAGGGAAAAGCAUUAAUAAAGUGCUCAAGAAACAAUUGUUCAAUAGGUCAGUCUUAUAGUCAAUACCUCAUCCCAUGCUCUGUCCCCUACUCUUUGAAAAACUGCCCAAAGAAACAAUGGAUCCACGGAGUCACAAAAACAGGGCAUCCAGUGACCCUCCCCAUCUUACCAGCAAUGUGACUUUCCCACAGUAUAACGACAGCAGUGCCCAGAGCCCAAUACAAGCAGGGCUCUACACUGAGACAGAGCUGAGUUCUAGUAGCAACUACCCUCCUUAUAGCAGUGUUAUUUUAGGCAAGUUUCUCAGCUUCUGGAAGGUUCUUUUCUCAGGCUUACAUACUUUUUACCCGAAAAGAUCUUGGAGUCGUCCAUAUCAGCACAAGCAAUCUACAUUAUUAGUUUUUUUAAUGGCUGCACAGCAUUCCAUGAUAUGGCUGUACCAUUACUUAACUAUCGAUGAACAUUUAGGCAGUUUCCAGUCUCUUUCUGCAGGAGCCAAUGCUGCAAUGUGGUGGGUCAUAACUUU
rnacentral:lncRNA from 10 species